rnacentral:lncRNA from 1 species
UCUGGUGUCCCCACCAUACAAUCAGGUGCCACCAUAAGGCCACUCAGUCCCUCCCUAGCACAAUUAAGUCCCUCUUCAAUGGGACUUGGUUCCACCCAUGAUGGAUCCAAGCUACAUUGAGAGGUAUAAGAGACUAAACUUAUCUACCUUUUUAGAGAUAUCCUCCUUCGAAGAGGCCAAAUAUUGAUUAGCAGAGACAGAGAAGGUUUUUGUAACUCUUGGGGUAGUUCCCGAAUAAAAAGUUG